rnacentral:rRNA from 1 species
UACGUAGGUGGCAAGCGUUGUCCGGAUUUACUGGGCGUAAAGAGCGCGCAGGCGGUCGUUCAAGUCGCGUGUGAAAGCCCCCGGCUCAACUGGGGAGGGUCACGCGAUACUGAUCGACUCGAAGGCAGGAGAGGGUAGUGGAAUUCCCGGUGUAGUGGUGAAAUGCGUAGAUAUCAGGAGGAACACCAAUGGCGAAGGCAGCUCGCUGGGACGGUACUGACGCUGAGGCGCGAAAGCGUGGGGAGCAAACAGG